UCUUAUGAAUGAGCAAAGAAAGUGGUUUCUUUGGAUAGCUCUACUCCCAGUGAAGAUGCUGUGAA
rnacentral:pre_miRNA from 4 species